UACGGAGGGAGCUAGCGUUGUUCGGAAUUACUGGGCGUAAAGCGCACGUAGGCGGCUUUUGUAAGUUAGAGGUGAAAGCCCGGGGCUCAACUCCGGAAUUGCCUUUAAGACUGCAUCGCUCGAAUCCGGGAGAGGUGAGUGGAAUUCCGAGUGUAGAGGUGAAAUUCGUAGAUAUUCGGAAGAAACACCAGUGGCGAAGGACGGCUCACUGGAGCCGGUAUUGACGCUGAGGUGCGAAAGCGUGGGGAGCAAACAGG
rnacentral:rRNA from 1 species